CGAGCGCCGUACAUACGGAGCGGCAGACGGGUGAGUAACGCGUGGGAACGUGCCUUCUGGUUCGGAAUAACUCAGGGAAACUUGAGCUAAUACCGAAUAAGCCCUUCGGGGGAAAGAUUUAUCGCCGGAAGAUCGGCCCGCGUAAGAUUAGCUUGUUGGUGAGGUAAUGGCUCACCAAGGCUACGAUCUUUAGCUGGUCUGAGAGGAUGAUCAGCCACACUGGGACUGAGACACGGCCCAGACUCCUACGGGAGGCAGCAGUGGGGAAUAUUGGACAAUGGGCGCAAGCCUGAUCCAGCCAUGCCGCGUGAGUGAUGAAGGCCUUAGGGUUGUAAGCUCUUUUAGCGGGGACGAUAAUGACGGUACCCGCAGAAAAAGCCCCGGCCAACUUCGUGCCAGCAGCCGCGGUAAUACGAAGGGGGCUAGCGUUGCUCGGAAUCACUGGGCGUAAAGCGCACGUAGGUGGGUCGUUAAGUUGAGGGUGAAAUCCCAGGGCUCAACCCUGGAACUGCCUUCAAUACUGGCGACCUUCGAGUCCGGGAGAGGUGAGUGGAACUGCGAGUGUAGAGGUGAAAUUCGUAGAUAUUCGCAAGAACACCAGUGGCGAAGGCGGCUCACUGGCCCGGUACUGACACUGAGGUGCGAAAGCGUGGGGAGCAAACA
rnacentral:rRNA from 1 species